rnacentral:rRNA from 1 species
GAUGAACGCUGGCGGCGUGCCUAAUACAUGCAAGUCGAGCGAACAGAUGAGGAGCUUGCUCCUUUGACGUUAGCGGCGGACGGGUGAGUAACACGUGGAUAACCUACCUAUAAGACUGGGAUAACUUCGGGAAACCGGAGCUAAUACCGGAUAAUAUAUUGAACCGCAUGGUUCAAUAGUGAAAGACGGCUUUGCUGUCACUUAUAGAUGGAUCCGAGCCGCAUUAGCUAGUUGGUAAGGUAACGGCUUACCAAGGCAACGAUGCGUAGCCGACCUGAGAGGGUGAUCGGCCACACUGGAACUGAGACACGGUCCAGACUCCUACGGGAGGCAGCAGUAGGGAAUCUUCCGCAAUGGGCGAAAGCCUGACGGAGCAACGCCGCGUGAGUGAUGAAGGUCUUCGGAUCGUAAAACUCUGUUAUUAGGGAAGAACCAAUGUGUAAGUAACUAUGCACGUCUUGACGGUACCUGAUCAGAAAGCCACGGCUAACUACGUG